ACGAACGCUGGCGGCGUGCUUCACACAUGCAAGUCGCACGGAAAGGCCCUGCUUUUGUGGGGUGCUCGAGUGGCGAACGGGUGAGUAACACGUGAGUAACCUGCCCUUGACUUUGGGAUAACUUCAGGAAGCUGGGGCUAAUACCGGAUAGGAGCUCCUGCUGCAUGGUGGGGGUUGGAAAGUUUCGGCGGUUGGGGAUGGACUCGCGGCUUAUCAGCUUGUUGGUGGGGUAGUGGCUUACCAAGGCUUUGACGGGUAGCCGGCCUGAGAGGGUGACCGGCCACAUUGGGACUGAGAUACGGCCCAGACUCCUACGGGAGGCAGCAGUGGGGAAUAUUGCACAAUGGGCGGAAGCCUGAUGCAGCAACGCCGCGUGCGGGAUGACGGCCUUCGGGUUGUAAACCGCUUUCGCCUGUGACGAAGCGUGAGUGACGGUAAUGGGUAAAGAAGCACCGGCUAACUACGUG
rnacentral:rRNA from 1 species